GUCACAACACACAGUUUGACAGUUUUCAUGUUUUAUUCAAACGUUUGUACAGAAAUGAUGAAGCGCUGCCUGAAAUGACCUGAAACACGACAAGAGCAUCAUCAGUGAACAACAGAACCACCAGUGUGGAACUGGACCUGACAGACUGCUGAGCACCUUAAAACAGAAACAAGAACCAACACAGGCUCGACCCAAAUAAUGCCAACAACACAAAUCUACAAUAUAAAGUCACAUUAUAUUGACAGUGACUGACAGUGUUAACAGCAGCUUCAGUUCAGUGAAGUCUGAUGGUUUUAAAGCACAUGUGGAGCUCAGUCAGGAGCUUUAAGCUCUACAAGCAGUCUGAUAAUAUUUGGUAAAUAGACGCAUUUAUACAUCACUGCUGCCCUCAUUCAUCCAUUCACUCACUCACUCACUCACUCACUCACUCACUCACUCACCGAUGGCAGUCAGCUACCAUGCAAGGUGCUGGUCUGACCAUCAGGAGCAGUUUGGGCUUCAGCCUUUUGCUCAAGGACACUUGGACAUGUGGACGGGAGGAGCCGGGGAUCGAACCAGCGACGUGUGAUUAACUGACCAGCUGCUAGAGACGCUUCAGAUCAUCAGAGGAUAAAAAUAAAAGAAUAAAAGCAACAUAGAACAGAGAGAAAGAGCUCGUCUUUGUCCUCAGCAACAUUAAUAACAGAGUCAAAGUUUGUUCGCUGCAUCAUUUUUUCUCUUCAAGCUGCACAAGAGUGGAACUGAAUCUCACCAAAUAUCAGAAUUCAUUUAAUUCUCACUUGACAGAACGAUUCAUUAAUAAUCAGUUCUGUCAGCAUUAAAGGCCACCUGCUCUCUUCUGUUACAGCUACAUGUCACUGUGCUGCAUGUGGACCAGCUCUUAUUGUGAAGGGCUGAUAGUAAUGUAUAUUAUGCUCCAUGUUGAAUAAAACAAUGAAGGAAACUAAAUGAAAGCACUUUAACAGCUCCUGAGACAGAAGCGACCUCAUCAGGUAAUGUGACUGUGACAGGUGUGUUAAUGUGGUCAGUCAGUGGAGGUGAAUCAACGGUGGAAGUGACAACAAGAGCCGAGCUGACGUAUCAGUAAAGUCCACCACCAACAACAGCAACAACUAAAAGGAGGCUGACAACUCCAGCAACAAUCCAUCCAGUGUUGGACCCUGAAACAGAUGAAAGUGGAUGUGAGAGUCAGAAGUUGAGGUCAGAUGAUCAGCAGCAGACUGGACCUCACAGCCCACACAGAACCACUAAAGGCUCAGACAGAGGAGGAAGACUCCUGCUCACAUUUAUAAACCACAGUGUUACACUUCAUCUGUUGUUCUCAUCUGAGUUUCACUGCAACUCAAAACUUCAACGCUGGAUUUUAAAGUUAAAACUCAUCUUGUAAUGAACCGACUCUGCUGCAGUUCAUGAAUAAAGUACCAGGAAGCUGUUUGUCAUGUUGGACCUUCACUGCAACACAACGCUUAUAAUUACAAGUUUACAUGGUCCAGUAAAAACUGCAGCUCCACAGCCUUUAUGUUCAGAGUCAUGAAGAAGUGUUGGACUGCUGCAGGAUUUAUUCUGUGUUUGGAUGUUUGUCACACUUCAUUGUUUCAGAUGUUCAGACAGAAUCAAAUAAAGAAGAGACAACCUGAGUUAAC